GGUGAACGCUGGCGGCGUGCCUAAUACAUGCAAGUCGAGCGAACAGACGAGGAGCUUGCUCCUCUGACGUUAGCGGCGGACGGGUGAGUAACACGUGGAUAACCUACCUAUAAGACUGGGAUAACUUCGGGAAACCGGAGCUAAUACCGGAUAACAUGUUGAACCGCAUGGUUCAACAGUGAAAGACGGUCUUGCUGUCACUUAUAGAUGGAUCCGCGCCGCAUUAGCUAGUUGGUAAGGUAACGGCUUACCAAGGCAACGAUGCGUAGCCGACCUGAGAGGGUGAUCGGCCACACUGGAACUGAGACACGGUCCAGACUCCUACGGGAGGCAGCAGUAGGGAAUCUUCCGCAAUGGGCGAAAGCCUGACGGAGCAACGCCGCGUGAGUGAAGAAGGUCUUCGGAUCGUAAAACUCUGUUAUUAGGGAAGAACAAAUGUGUAAGUAACUAUGCACGUCUUGACGGUACCUAAUCAGAAAGCCACGGCUAACUACGUG
rnacentral:rRNA from 1 species